GAUGAACGCUGGCGGCGUGCCUAAUACAUGCAAGUCGAGCGAACGGACGAGAAGCUUGCUUCUCUGAUGUUAGCGGCGGACGGGUGAGUAACACGUGGAUAACCUACCUAUAAGACUGGGAUAACUUCGGGAAACCGUAGCUAAUACCGGAUAAUAUUUUGAACCGCAUGGUUCAAAAGUGAAAGACGGUCUUGCUGUCACUUAUAGAUGGAUCCGCGCUGCAUUAGCUAGUUGGUAAGGUAACGGCUUACCAAGGCAACGAUGCAUAGCCGACCUGAGAGGGUGAUCGGCCACACUGGAACUGAGACACGGUCCAGACUCCUACGGGAGGCAGCAGUAGGGAAUCUUCCGCAAUGGGCGAAAGCCUGACGGAGCAACGCCGCGUGAGUGAUGAAGGUCUUCGGAUCGUAAAACUCUGUUAUUAGGGAAGAACAUAUGUGUAAGUAACUGUGCGCAUCUUGACGGUACCUAAUCAGAAAGCCACGGCUAACUACGU
rnacentral:rRNA from 1 species